rnacentral:rRNA from 1 species
AUACGUAGGUGGCAAGCGUUGUCCGGAAUUAUUGGGCGUAAAGCGCGCGCAGGUGGUUCCUUAAGUCUGAUGUGAAAGCCCCCGGCUCAACCGGGGAGGGUCAUUGGAAACUGGGGAACUUGAGUGCAGAAGAGGAUAGUGGAAUUCCAAGUGUAGCGGUGAAAUGCGUAGAGAUUUGGAGGAACACCAGUGGCGAAGGCGACUGUCAGGUCUGUAACUGACACUGAGGCGCGAAAGCGUGGGGAGCAAACAGGAUUAGAUACCCUGGUAGUCCACGCCGUAAACGAUGAGUGCUAAGUGUUGGGGGGUUUCCGCCCCUCAGUGCUGCAGCUAACGCAUUAAGCACUCCGCCUGGGGAGUACGGUCGCAAGACUGAAACUCAAAUGAAUUGACGGGG